rnacentral:lncRNA from 1 species
AGAAAAUGUAGUCAAAUGGAUACAUAAAGUGCUUUCAUUUCUAAACGGUAAAACAGAUAUUUAUGAAAAUACCUUCAAAUGUAUUUUUUUAUUUCACCUUUAUUUAACCAGGUAGGCAAGUUGAGAACAAGUUCUCAUUUACAAUUGCGACCUGGCCAAGAUAAAGCAAAUCAGUUCGACAACAUACAACAACACAGAGUUACACAUGGAGUAAAACAAAUAUACAGUAGAAAAAUAAGUCUAUGUACAAUGUGAGCAAAUGAGGUGAGAUAAGGGAGGUAAAGGCAAAAAAAGUCCAUGGUGGCAAAGUAAAUCCAAUAUAGCAAGUAAAACACUGGAAUGGUAGAUUUGUAGUAGAAGAAAGUGCAAAGUAGAAAUAGAGAUAAUGGGGUGCAAAGGAGCAAAAUAAAAUAAAUAAAUACAGUAGGGGAAGAGGUAGUUGUUUGGGCUAAAUUAUAGAUGGGCUAUGUACAGUUGCAGUGAUCUGUGAGCUGCUCUGACAGCUGGUGCUUAAAGCUAGUGAGGGAGAUAUGAGUCUCCAGCUUCAGAGAUUUUUGCAGUUCAUUCCAGUCAUUGGCAGCAGAGAACUGGAAGGAAAGACGACCAAAGGGGGAAUUGGCUUUGGGGGUGACCAGUGAGAUAUACCUGCUGGCGCACGUGCUACGAGUCGGUGCUGCUAUGGUGACCAGUGAGCUGAGAUAAGGCGGGGCUUUACCUAGCAGAGACUUGUAGAUAACCUGUAGCCAGUGGGUUUGGCGACGAGUAUGAAGCGAGGGCCAGCCAACGAGAGCGUACAGGUCACAAUGGUGGGUAGUGUAUGGGGCCUUGGUGACAAAACGGAUGGCACUGUGAUAGACUGCAUCCAGUUUGUUGAGUAGAGUGUUGGAGGCUAUUCUAUAGAUGCCAACACCGAAGUCGAGGAUCGGUAGGAUGGUCAGUUUUACGAGGGCAUGUUUGGCAGCAUAAGUGAACGACGCUUUGCUGCGACAUAGGAAGCCGAUUCUAGAUUUAAUUUUGGAUUGGAGAUGCUUAAUGUGAGUCUGGAAGGAGAGUUUACAGUCUAACCAGACACCCAGGUAUUUGUGGUUGCCCACGUAUUCUAAGUCAUAGCGUCCAGAGUAGUGAUGCUGAACGGGCGAGCAGGUGCGGGCAGCGAUCGAUUGAAUAGCAUGCAUUUAGUUUUACUUGCGUUUAAGAGCAGUUGGAGGCCACGGAAGGAAAGUUGUAUGGCAUUGAAGCUCGUCUGGAGGUUAGUUAACACAGUGUCCAGAGGGGCCAGAAGUAUACAGAAUGGUGUCGUCUGAGCAGAGGUGGAUCAGAGAAUCACCAGCAGCAAGAGCAACAUCAUUGAUGUAUACAGAGAAGAGAGUCGGCCCGAGAUUUGAACCCUGUAGCACACCCAUAGAGACUGCCAGAGGUCCGGACAACAGGCCCUCUGAUUUGAC